ACUCCUACGGGAGGCAGCAGUAGGGAAUCUUCCGCAAUGGACGCAAGUCUGACGGAGCAACGCCGCGUGAGUGAAGAAGGUCUUCGGAUCGUAAAGCUCUGUUGUUAGAGAAGAACAGCGCAUAGAGUAACUGUUAUGCGUGUGACGGUAUCUAACCAGAAAGCCACGGCUAACUACGUGCCAGCAGCCGCGGUAAUACGUAGGUGGCGAGCGUUGUCCGGAUUUAUUGGGCGUAAAGGGAGUGUAGGCGGUCUUUUAAGUCUGAUGUGAAAGCCCACGGCUCAACCGUGGAGGGUCAUUGGAAACUGGGAGACUUGAGUGCAGAAGAGGAGAGCGGAAUUCCAUGUGUAGCGGUGAAAUGCGUAGAUAUAUGGAGGAACACCAGUGGCGAAGGCGGCUCUCUGGUCUGUAACUGACGCUGAGGCUCGAAAGCGUGGGGAGCAAACAGGAUUAGAUACCCUGGUAGGAUAGCGU
rnacentral:rRNA from 1 species